ACGCCCCGGGCCAUCCGCAGCUGGGGGUUUUGAGAGUCUCGAGACAGGCGACGACAACCCCGAGCCGUCUGAAGCACGAAGCGCGGGGGUCCCGAAGCACUGUCCUCUUCAGUGUCCCGAGACCUCCUCCUCGGGGUCAGACUCGGAAGCCCCCCUGCUGCAUUUUCUACUGCGCCCCGAGACCCCCCAACCGGUCCCCGGGAAGCCGCUCAUGGAGACGCCCAUUGAGCGAGAAAUCCGCCGCAGCUGCGAACGCGAGGAGAGCCUGCGCCGGAGCCGGGGCCUGAGCCCAGGCCGCGCCGGCCGAGAACUCGUCGAGCUGCGCGUGCGACCGGUGCUCAGCCUGCCGGGCCCGGGCCCCGCGCUCCCGCGCGCCUUGGAGCGCGCGCGGGCGGGCGCGCAAAUGCAGCGAGACAUCGAGCGGGAGGCCCACCGUCAGGCGGCGCUGGCGCGUCCCGCGGCCCCAGAGCAGUGCGCCCGGACGCCGCCGCAGCCGCUGGGCGAGCUCAAGCGAUUCUUUGAGACCGCCGCGGGACGCGGCUCCUCGCCGGCGGAGGAAGGCGGCGCGGGCCCGCAGGGGCUGCCGGAUCCCGGAGGCCGGCCUCGCUUGGCCGUGCAAGGCCGGUGCCCGGUGCUGACCCGUGCCCCGCCGCGGGUCGCGCCGUCGCUGCUGGAGCAGGAGGUGCGCGAGGUGCAUGAGCGCGAGCGGGAGCUGCAGCGCCAGAGGCUCAGCGUCUACGGCACCGCUGAGUUCAAGGAGCCCGCGCCGAGCCUCACGGGUUGCUCCCUCCUCCGGAAUGGAGGCCUCCAUGGGAAGGAGGGUAAACGCCUGUGUGUUUAAGGGGCGCGGCCGGUCUCCUUGGUGCUGGCCGCCUCCAGCUGGUGACAGGAGGGGCAACCCCGGCUGAGUGCCCCUUCCCCCGCAGCGAGCAGGGGCGAUGGAAAGCUGGCGGUGAUCUGGCCUCCCCGCAGAAAGGCAUCGGAGAACGGCUUGGAGCAGGAGGAGCGGAAGCCUUGAGGUUCCAGUAGGUUGGGACACCCUGCCAGAGGUAACACGCACAUCAGAGGAAACUGGUAGGGGCGCCAGGGAGUGCCCUCCGAAUCCGCCGAAGGCCUGGAGAGGGUCAGCAGUCUGCUCCGGGGAAGAUGAAAUCGACCAGCUCCUCUUUGCGAAAUUGACCAUUCUCUUCUGUAAAACUAUUAGUCCACGUUGGGAAACACCACCACUGUCAAUCCUGCCAGUGAAACUGUCCAGCCCUUCUCCGCCUAACUGCGAACUGAACUGGCCUCUGCCUCCCGCCUUUACCGUUCGAGUAAAUGCCUCGGCUACCCUCACUCCCCAAUAAAGCCCCUUCUUUCUGGGCAGUGCA